rnacentral:lncRNA from 1 species
AAGCUGUGCUUUUUUGCGCUCGCGAAGUUAAAGAGCGUCAUUUUAAAUAUCCCGGUCUUUUUGUUUGAAAAGAAACAAUGUUGCCAAGAGUGCAUGAAAGUAAAACUUAAUUGCCAAAUGAAAGCUAAUUGAUAACAUUUUUAGUUUUUAAAGUUACUUUGCUAUUGGCCAAAAUUGUUUUAAUGUGUAAUCAGGCAAUGCCGUAUUGGCAAGUCUGUAACACUGUUUUUGAUUGGAGCACUGUCUACAGUAACAGUUAUUUUAUUGGAUUACAAAACAAUGGGCCAGGUUGCCGGGUUAUUUGACCUUGAGCCCUGACCAUCGCCAUAUUUUAUCAUAACGUCGCGCAUGUUUUAUCUCUUGUUUUGUUUACAUACUUCCAUAAUUGACUGUCCAAAUAAUUCGCGUUCCUGUGAUUUCUAUUUAAUUUUAUAACUUUAAGUGAAGUGAAGCUCAAUUUGAAUCUUGUGCGGUUGAUGAUAACAAUGGUUUUCAGGAGUUCCGUUAUGAACUUCGCCGCUUCUUGCCACUGUGUACAGGUGCAAACAUCCAGAUUGCACCUACUUUAUUGUUAGUCCCGUUAUCCUCAUUACCACCGGCGGCGCCGGUAUAUUCUGUCAGCGUAGUGACUCAUUAGUAUCAUUUCAUUCCUGCUACGUUGUCAUCCCUCAACAACAGCAUUCAGCUGUCUCUCGUCUACCAUGGCUAAGUCGGAAGAAAAUUUUGAUCUACUCUGUGUCGAACACGAUGAAGAUUUUGAUCAAAAACACUCUUCAAGUGAAUCGAGCAGUUCCUCAAGCAGCAGCUCUUCUAGUGAUGAAGAAGAGGACAGAUAUGAAGAUUAUGAAGGUGCUCAUUACAGCAACUAUGAAGAAGAUAUUGAUCAUGGAACAGUGCAGGAAUUCAUUAUCGAGGAAGUUUCUGACACAGUAGGCGAAGUUUAUGAAGAAGCUCUUCAAGCAGUCGUGGAAGAUGUGGCAGAUUUAGAAAUUCAGAGCCCAGGGAACCCGAGCCAUGUCUCUUACGAUUAUGUCAUCAAAGAGCUGAAAAAUAAGAAAAGUGGAAGCAGCAGCUCCAGUAGUAGCAGCAGUAGCAGCAGUGGUGGUAGUCAUGGAAAGGUCAAAGCUAAAAAUGUAGGUGCUCAUUACAUUCCAACGCCCAUACCGGUCCCAAUUCAUUCUGGGCAGCAUUACACAGAACCUCAGCACUAUGUAGAACCCCCACAUUAUGCCGAACCUCAACAAUUUGGCAGUUAUUAUGAAGGCUAUGUUCCGUAUCCUCUUGUGAGUAUUUUCUUGUUUUCAUCUGUUCUAUAUCAAUGGUAAAAUAUUAUGGAGUCACAUAUUUUGAUCUUGGUUUCUGAAAACCUCCACAUAAACUUGAUUUUACUGAGAGAACAAUAUUAAAAAUUUUCUUAUGAAAUCCUCAGGACUAUUCUUGAGGAGGCAAACUUAAUUGAGUAAAAUUGUUUAAGUUUGAUUAGAUUUCAUUAAAUUCAAGCUUCAACAAAGUAAAUCAAGACAGUGAGUCUGAAAUUUUACAAAUUGAGGUAUGUGGUUUUGUUGUUUUACCAUCGAUCUCUAUUUUAAUACUUGUGUUUUAUUUGCCUUCGAACAAUCAAAAACUAGUUGGAAAGUAAUUAUCUCCGAUUCAAUUUACAAAUCUUGAAACUCCGAAUCAUCAGCUCACUUUCAAUUUGAUACUUCUCAACUUGAAAAGUGAAGAAUCAAGGUUACCAAGCGAUAUCAACAAAGUGUGUUCAGUUUGUUAAUCCAUUUCAAAUUCUGGUAGGAAAGGCUACCCACUGAGAGUUUUCACUUGCCACUAUUUUUCUGAAUUUUAAGGAAUUUUUCUGCAGCGUCAGGUCUAUUCAAGUUAGUUCUUGAUUUUGCAUUUGCUAUCAGUCAGCAUUCAUUAUUCACAAGUGAUGUACUUAUUGGAAUUUAAAAAAAGGCUGGAACCUCUCCAAAAAUGUUCCUCUUUUCCUCUCUUCUCAAGAAAUUUCAAGUACGACCUGACCAUUCUUCAUAAGUACUACCUGACCUUUCUCCAUAAGUAUUACCUUACUUUUUUUUUUUUUUACACUUCAAGUAUCCCACAAGGGAUAAUCCUACGCUUUAUCAUCCCUAGAGCCCCAUCCCUCUCCGUCCCUAAUCAAGCCAGCCGCAGGUAAUCGUUGCUAAAGGAAGUAGCAUGUUUGUCCCACCUGAAACCCCAGAUGGUAG